rnacentral:rRNA from 1 species
CUAGCAUAUCAAUAAGCGGAGGAAAAGAAACCAACAGGGAUUGCCUCAGUAACGGCGAGUGAAGCGGCAACAGCUCAAAUUUGAAAUCUGGCCCUAGGCCCGAGUUGUAAUUUGCAGAGGAUGCUUUUGGUGCGGUGCCUUCCAAGUUCCCUAGAACGGGACGCCAGAGAGGGUGAGAGCCCCGUACAGUUGGACACCAAGCCUUUGUAAAGCUCCUUCGACGAGUCGAGUAGUUUGGGAAUGCUGCUCAAAAUGGGAGGUAUAUUUCUUCUAAAGCUAAAUACCGGCCAGAGACCGAUAGCGCACAAGUAGAGUGAUCGAAAGAUGAAAAGCACUUUGAAAAGAGGGUUAAACAGCACGUGAAAUUGUUAAAAGGGAAGCGCUUGUGACCAGACUUGCGUCCGGUGAAUCACCCAGCUCUCGCGGCUGGGGCACUUCGCCGGCUCAGGCCAGCAUCAGCUCGCUGUCGGGGACAAAAGCUUCGGGAACGUAGCUCUCUUCGGGGAGUGUUAUAGCCUGUUGCAUAAUACCCUUCGGCGGGCUGAGGUACGCGCUCCGCAAGGAUGCUGGCAUAAUGGUCAUCAGCGACCCGUCUUGAAACACGGACCAAGGAGUCAACCUUAUGUGCGAGUGUUCGGGUGUCAAACCCCUACGCGUAAUGAAAGUGAACGCAGGUGAGAGCUUCGGCGCAUCAUCGACCGAUCCUGAUGUUCUCGGAUGGAUUUGAGUAAGAGCAUAUAGGGUUGGACCCGAAAGAAGGUGAACUAUGCGUGUAUAGGGUGAAGCCAGAGGAAACUCUGGUGGAGGCUCGCAGCGGUUCUGACGUGCAAAUCGAUCGUCAAAUAUGCGCAUGGGGGCGAAAGACUAAUCGAACCUUCUAGUAGCUGGUUCCC